CAGCCCCAAGAAUCUCACCAUGUGCCUGAGAGCAUUGUCCAAACACUCCUUGAGCUCUGGCAGGUUUGGGUUUUUUAGAAGAAAGGUUAAUGCACAUUGGUCCAUAAAUCCCACUUUGAGGCACUGAGAGGCUUUGUAUGGAGCACGUGUGGACAAGAGCACUUCCAUGAGGAGAACUGAUUGAAAAAGAGCUUCAGGGAACCUGCAAUCCCAACUCAACACCUGCUUAACCUCCAGGGACAUCAGCAUUUCCUUCCUGGGACAAACUAGAACCUACCUCAGCCUAAGCAGAGACAGAUCAUCUCCAAAUCAGCCUGGCCAGAAGCUGCUGUGCACUGCACUUGCCAGCCAAAUUUUCAGAAGAGCCCAGUUUGCUGACAUAAAUGGGGUUGCUGAUGUGCCGAAGGAGAAGGAAGCGCCCGAGAACACAUCCCUCCCUGGGUCCAAGUCUCUCCCAUCUUAUCUUUCCCUUCCAUAUGUUUCCCCUGUAAUGAGAGGAAUUAUUUAUCAUUAAAGUGAUAUAGAAUUUAAAAAUUAAAGUUAAUGAAUGCUUAAAUUAAUUUACUGACAAAAACAAAUGUCUGUCCUUCAGAUCCUAUAAUUUUAAUUGGAGUGGGCUACGGCUUAAUUAACAUGUAUUGAUUGUAGUCCUGAGUGCAUCUAUAGGUGGGUGGACUGUGUUGGGAGAAAUCCUCCUCAGAGAUGAAGAUUUGCUGAUAACAUUCUGAAUAAUUGUCUUGUGAAGAGACAGAAGUCUUUGCUGUUUUCUCUGCAGAAAGCUUUAAACAAAAGGUGCACAAAGAAGACAGAAAAUUGGAGGAGAGUUGGAGCAAAUGAAGAAUUCAAGAGGGAAGUACCCACAGGAGCCUCCUGAAACUCGG